AGAGUUUGAUCCUGGCUCAGGACGAACGCUGGCGGCGUGCCUAACACAUGCAAGUCGAGCGAUGAAGCCCUUCGGGGUGGAUUAGCGGCGGACGGGUGAGUAACACGUGGGUAACCUGCCUCAAAGAGGGGGAUAGCCUCCCGAAAGGGAGAUUAAUACCGCAUAACAUUAGCUUUUCGCAUGGAGAGCUAAUUAAAGGAGUAAUCCGCUUUGAGAUGGACCCGCGGCGCAUUAGCUAGUUGGUGAGGUAAAGGCUCACCAAGGCGACGAUGCGUAGCCGACCUGAGAGGGUGAUCGGCCACAUUGGAACUGAGACACGGUCCAGACUCCUACGGGAGGCAGCAGUGGGGAAUAUUGCACAAUGGGCGAAAGCCUGAUGCAGCAACGCCGCGUGAGUGAUGAAGGCCUUCGGGUUGUAAAGCUCUGUCUUUGGGGACGAUAAUGACGGUACCCAAGGAGGAAGCCACGGCUAACUACGUGCCAGCAGCCGCGGUAAUACGUAGGUGGCGAGCGUUGUCCGGAUUUACUGGGCGUAAAGGAUGCGUAGGUGGAUGUUUAAGUCAGAUGUGAAAUACCCGAGCUUAACUUGGGUGCUGCAUUUGAAACUGGAUAUCUAGAGUGCAGGAGAGGUAAGUGGAAUUCCUAGUGUAGCGGUGAAAUGCGUAGAGAUUAGGAAGAACACCAGUGGCGAAGGCGACUUACUGGACUGUAACUGACACUGAGGCAUGAAAGCGUGGGUAGCAAACAGGAUUAGAUACCCUGGUAGUCCACGCCGUAAACGAUGAGUACUAGGUGUAGGGGGGUCCAACCCUCUGUGCCGCAGUUAACACAAUAAGUACUCCGCCUGGGAAGUACGAUCGCAAGAUUAAAACUCAAAGGAAUUGACGG
rnacentral:rRNA from 1 species